CCUACGGGUGGCAGCAGUGAGGAAUAUUGGUCAAUGGACGAGAGUCUGAACCAGCCAAGUAGCGUGAAGGAUGACUGCCCUAUGGGUUGUAAACUUCUUUUAUAUGGGAAUAAAAUGUUCCACGUGUGGGAUUUUGUAUGUACCUUAUGAAUAAGGAUCGGCUAACUCCGUGCCAGCAGCCGCGGUAAUACGGAGGAUCCGAGCGUUAUCCGGAUUUAUUGGGUUUAAAGGGAGCGUAGGUGGUUUGUUAAGUCAGUUGUGAAAGUUUGCGGCUCAACCGUAAAAUUGCAGUUGAAACUGGCAGUCUUGAGUUCAGUAGAAGUGGGCGGAAUGCGUGGUGUAGCGGUGAAAUGCUUAGAUAUCACGAAGAACUCCGAUUGCGAAGGCAGUUCACUGGACUGCAACUGACACUGAGGCUCGAAAGUGUGGGUAUCAAACAGGAUUAGAUACCCGAGUAGUC
rnacentral:rRNA from 1 species